rnacentral:rRNA from 1 species
UACGUAGGUGGCAAGCGUUAUCCGGAAUUAUUGGGCGUAAAGCGCGCGCAGGUGGUUUCUUAAGUCUGAUGUGAAAGCCCACGGCUCAACCGUGGAGGGUCAUUGGAAACUGGGAGACUUGAGUGCAGAAGAGGAAAGUGGAAUUCCAUGUGUAGCGGUGAAAUGCGUAGAGAUAUGGAGGAACACCAGUGGCGAAGGCGACUUUCUGGUCUGUAACUGACACUGAGGCG